rnacentral:rRNA from 1 species
UCCAGACUCCUACGGGAGGCAGCAGUGAGGAAUAUUGGUCAAUGGGCGGAAGCCUGAACCAGCCAAGUCGCGUGAGGGAAUAAGGCCCUACGGGUCGUAAACCUCUUUUGCCGGGGAGCAAGGGCGGGGACGUGUCCCGGCCCGGAGAGUACCCGGAGAAAAAGCAUCGGCUAACUCCGUGCCGGCAGCCGCGGUAAUACGGAGGAUGCGAGCGUUAUCCGGAUUUAUUGGGUUUAAAGGGUGCGUAGGCGGUUUUUUAAGUUAGUGGUUAAACGUCGGGGCUUCACCUUGAUUUGCCAUUAAUACUGUAAGACUCGAGUUCAGACGAGGUAGGCGGAAUAAGUUAAGUAGCGGUGAAAUGCUUAGAUAUAACUUAGAACUCCGAUAGCGAAGGCAGCUUACCAGACUGCGACUGACGCUGAAGCACGAGAGCGUGGGUAGCGAACAGGAUUAGAUACCCCCGUA